CAGCGACUGACUGACUGUUGGAGGGAAAUUCCCGUUUAAUUUUUUUGCUGACCAUUAAUAGAAAGUUGAAGGUUUGUUUUGCAGUGAGUUGGCGUUUUGCUGACCAACAGAAAAAUCAGAUCGAGAAGCUUUGUUUGAACUUGUUUCACGGGUUGAUUCAAUCAGCAUGAAACAAUCGUUUAACAGCCCUUCAUUUCGAUCCAGCUGACCGCAUCCACUUGCGGGUACGUCAAAAGUUUCUUUCAUGUCAUGUCGACCAAAAGGCCUAGCAUCACGAUUCUCACCCUCUUGACACAAUCUGCAAAUUGAACAACCAUGUCGUGUCCAUGCGGCAGUCAUCAUCACGCGAGGUUUUAUUUUUUGUUCUGGGAACAAGCAGUUAUCUUUGCGCCGGCCGGCCGUUCGAGGAUCGUAUCGCGCGAACAGAACCUAGGACACACCGUGCGGCCAGCACCACAGUCUAAUUAGAAGUAGAAGGAACGUGUUCAAGGGUUGACUAUAGCGCGGUAUUGUCCUUGCGCUACGAUAUCGUUCGCGGCUCUGGUAACAAACAACAUCACUGCUUUUGACUGUGUCCUUCGCUGCUCUACGAUGAUUGUCAGUCAGGAUCUCCACUUAGCGAUUUCCCUAGUGGAAUGAAGUCCUUUCCUCAUAUAGCAGUGCUAGUGAACCUAUGGUAUACCAACCAUACCAACAUAUUUUUUUCUCUAUUUAGACAGUGGAAUUCAGUGAUGGUUGGAUUACACACAAAAGUAUAAAUCAUCCGGAAGUUGUAAAUAAUCAGCUGCUGAGCUCUACUGGAUUUUUUUUCAAUCAACUUUUUUUUUCAUUCAAAACAUAGAUACAUCCUCUGCUUAAACGAUUGUACCAUGUUCUAUAAUAAGUGCGGGUGCGCUCCAAGCAUACCGUUACACAUUUCAGAGCCGUUGUUUAUAUUUCGCCACCCAUCAUACGAUAGUGGUUCGGAGAAAAAAAAAUAAACCUUUCGUCCCGGAUUGGUCGGCACUUCGUGCAUUUAUUUCUGGGUAAUCGCAUUCCGGUCCAUUUCCAGCAUUGAACUCAGCACUCGAGGAGAGAGGGUCUACCAACGCACGGUUCUUUGCGUAAAGGUAGCAUCGUAUCUUGAGCAGACCAGGUGCACGGUACCGAACUUUACACGGAAAGCAUAAAUAAAUCAGCAAGCAGGAAAUAAAGCCAUUAUGAUGCGAUUCACUGCAGAUGGAUCUGUUUUAUGUAACAACAUGUGCUGUAUGAUUGUAUGAACUGACAUUACGGUUUUGUUACCGCACGCAAAACUUUCCUUAUUACUUUAGAAGCAAUAGCGCAAAAUUACCAUUUAGGUAACAAAUCCAUUACUUAAAAAGCAAUAAAAUUCUU